CCUACGGGAGGCAGCAGUGAGGAAUAUUGGUCAAUGGACGAGAGUCUGAACCAGCCAAGUAGCGUGAAGGAUGACUGCCCUAUGGGUUGUAAACUUCUUUUAUAUGGGAAUAAAACGUUCCACGUGUGGGCUUUUGUAUGUACCAUAUGAAUAAGGAUCGGCUAACUCCGUGCCAGCAGCCGCGGUAAUACGGUGGAGGCGAGCGUUAUCCGGAUUUGUUGGGUUUAAAGGGAGCGUAGGUGGAUUGUUAAGUCAGUUGUGAAAGUUUGCGGCUUAACCGUAAAAUUGCAGUUGAAACUGGCAGUCUUGAGUACAGUAGAGGGGGGUGGAAUUCGUGGUGUAGCGGUGAAAUGCGUAGAUAUCACGAAGAACUCCGAUUGCGAAGGCAGUUCACUGGACUGCAACUGACACUGAGGCUCGAAAGUGUGGGGAUCAAACAGGAUUAGAUACCCGGGUAGUC
rnacentral:rRNA from 1 species